ACAAAUUAAUUAAAUUUGAAAAAUUGUUCAAGUCAUAGAGCAACAGCCUGUGGAAGACAGUCUCAGAAGUUAAAAAUAACCUCUGACUUUAGGGAAUAUGCUGGCUGCCCCUCACCAAGUGUUCUAGUAACUCGCCCUGGGUGUUCUUUGUUCGUGCUUUGAUAUUCUUUCACUAGACUUCUCCGCUGUAAAAUAGGAGUCAAUAUUUUUCCUAGUUCCAAAGACUUAUUUCUAAAGUCCUGACAUGCUUCAAGUGACAUAUUAAUCAAACUCUUUGUAAUCACGCAGACAGUUAUGUGUAAAGGGGCAGGUGAGCUUGAAGCCAAAUUCUUUCUUAAAAUCUCUCCCUCCGCUGUCAUCUUUUUGUCGCUGUCUAUGAGUCAAAGGCUUUGAAUUCUAUUUACAGAUCCUGGAAUUCUCCUUCCGUCUCCCCUGCCAUUCUGCUUGGUCCCCUGUGGUUAUGAAUUUGAGCAUGAAAAUAACUAUAUUCAUGCUGUUGUUCACAGAAAAAUUUACUUAUGUGAAAGCAGAAGCUACAUAAAAAUCCAUUAAAGCUCACUGUGUAAUAAGGUGUCAUAUCAAUAUACUGAUCACAGUGUAAUACUAUUAUUUCUUUAUAGGAGUAAAAGUUAUUCAUCCUGUGGAGGAGGCACCCAUGGUUACGACAAUGAGUUUAAGAGCAUGGAGGCUAUCUUUCUGGCACAUGGACCCAGUUUUAAAGAGAAGACUGAAAUUGAACCGUUCGAAAAUAUUGAACUCUAUAACCUAAUAUGUGAUCUUCUACACAUUGAACCAGCACCAAACAAUGGUACCCAUGGCAGUUUAAACCAUCUUCUGAAGGUGCCUUUUUAUGAGCCAUCCC